rnacentral:rRNA from 1 species
UACGUAGGGUGCGAGCGUUGUCCGGAAUUAUUGGGCGUAAAGGGCUCGUAGGCGGUUUGUCGCGUCGGGAGUGAAAACCAGGUGCUUAACACCUGGCUUGCUUUCGAUACGGGCAGACUAGAGGUAUUCAGGGGAGAACGGAAUUCCUGGUGUAGCGGUGAAAUGCGCAGAUAUCAGGAGGAACACCGAUGGCGAAGGCAGGUCACUGGGCCGCAACUGACGCUGAGGAGCGAAAGCAUGGGGAGCGAACAGG